rnacentral:lncRNA from 1 species
CGUCAGUGUUUUUAGGGGAUGGAACAAAUGGCAAUGAAAAAGAACGACCAGUUGCUGAGGCUUGAAGGACUCCAGCAGUUAUCUGGAACCAGUAAACAUUAAGGUUCAUCAGAAGCUCCGCCCCUUUGAAUCAGAAUGGCCGGGCUGCCUGUGUCCCUGUGACGAUGCUGUCCUCUUCAAUUUGCCUUGAGCCGGUUGCAAUGGGCAC